rnacentral:rRNA from 1 species
UACGUAGGAUGCAAGCGUUGUCCGGAAUUAUUGGGCGUAAAGAGCUCGUAGGCGGUUUGUCGCGUCUGCUGUGAAAACCCGAGGCUCAACCUCGGACUUGCAGUGGGUACGGGCAGACUAGAGUGUGGUAGGGGAGACUGGAAUUCCUGGUGUAGCGGUGGAAUGCGCAGAUAUCAGGAGGAACACCGAUGGCGAAGGCAGGUCUCUGGGCCAUUACUGACACUGAGAAGCGAAAGCAUGGGGAGCGAACAGG